rnacentral:lncRNA from 1 species
CAAUGGCGUCACCGCCGAGGAGAGCCGAGGGCUGGCGCAGACCCUGGCACGGCUCGGUGAGGGGAGCCUGAGCCAUCGCUCCCCACCUCUGCUGCUGGGGCAGCCGAGCAGCUGCUCCCGAAAGCAGGAGGGCUUGCGGUAAAGCAGAGCGAGCCGGGGCCUGCGGCAGCCCCGGGGCCGCUGUGACCGCCGAGCAGGCUGGCAGCGCUGUGCCCGGCCAUGGCAGCAGCCACACGCAUCCGCUGCCCUGGCUUCGUGUGCUUCGCAAAGCCAGAUCCUGCAAAUCUCCAUGAACCUUCCCACUAAAUUCCGAGGACAUUUUCACGUGUGAGGCUUAACUCGCCUGCAAAAGUAUUCCCAGAACUAGGCCUCACUUAAACUGUCUAUGACAGCCUGAGUUUAAGCGCCUCUUCAUCAAAAAGCCAGUUGUUACCCACACAUUGCAUCCCAAACUGCUGCAGCACCACACCACCUACUCGUGACCGCAGAGCGUCCCAGCAGAGCCCUGAGACAAGUUUCUCUCUUCUGUGCUGCUUUUCACACCACCUAUUAUAAUAACAACAAGUUACAACAUCGCCAAUGCACAGGGGCAUUACUCAUCCAGAGAGGAAGGUGUCUUUAAAUCCCCAAGACGAUUGGCACAGCAAACGCAAGAGGAAAUCUCAGCGCACGGCCAAUGCCAGGCAAUGAAGGAUCCUCUGUGGGAGUUGCAGAUGGCCAGGAGGGCGAUGGGAAGGAGAGAACACCAGUUUUAAUCCAGUUGUUUGUGAUGGAAAACUAUAAGAGGAGUGAAAAGACCUUAUUCCGCAGACCAAGGCAUUUACUUUAUUUAACUGCCUAACCUCAGUCAGAACACUAAAUUCCAUUACUCUAGAUGAAUGUUAUGGUAUGGUGAAGUCUUAUUUGAUAAUUACCUGGUCAGAACCACAGACUAGAAACAAGAUAUGCAGCCAGUGAAAGCCCAGUGGAGUCACUCCAGUUUAUACUAGCUGAGAAUCCAAUCUUCAAUUUUGAAUAAAAAAUUUGAGAAGUUGCA